UGUGAGUGUAGUUCAGUGGCAGAACACUUGCCUAGCAUGCAAAAGGCCCUGGGUUCCAUCCCCAGCACUGCAA